rnacentral:rRNA from 1 species
UACAGAGGUCUCAAGCGUUGUUCGGAUUCAUUGGGCGUAAAGGGUGCGUAGGCGGCGCGGUAAGUCGGGUGUGAAAUCUCUCGGCUCAACCGAGAAACGUCGGCCGAUACUGCCGUUCUUGAGGGAUGCAGAGGAGACUGGAAUUCCCGGUGUAGCGGUGAAAUGUGUAGAGAUCGGGAGGAACACCGGUGGCGAAGGCGGGUCUCUGGGCAUUUCCUGACGCUGAGGCGCGAAAGCGUGGGGAGCAAACAGG